AACAUGGCUGCCGCGGGUUUGAAGGUUCAGAGUUCCCUGGCACUUGUUUUACGAAACACGAUAUCAGUUUGGGCUUUGGUGCUAUUUUUGUUCUGAGAAGUGCUGGUGUUUUAAAUAUAGAAUGGUUGAUCUCAUUCCCGAGCGAAUUUGGAGCUGGGUGGUGGAAGGAUGGAGGAAUAUGGCCGACUUGGCGGAUAAGAUUGACGAUAUGAUCUGUACAUUUGAAGGAGAGGGUGAAACAACAAUGGAUACAGUGGCAAUGUAUAUGUUUGGGUGGAUGAUGUUUGGUUUAGUUGUUUUAGGAAUAGGUAAAUUUGUUUACGGCAAUUUUGUUGCCAAUAAAGACCUAAAAACUCAAAAUGUAAUUGUUGAACCUCCAGUGACUGUUACCAAAAGUGAAAAUAGUGUAGUUGAUGCUGCAGUAAAGCAACCCCCAAAGGACAUUGUUGUUAAAUCUUCAGGUGGUGGAAAAUAUGUACCCCCUACACCGCCUUCUCGUAAAAGGUUAGGUUCCAGAUCUGGCAGACCUGUUGUAGGCCCUGCCAAGCCUAAGUCAACAAACCUAAUUCACCCUCCUCCAACAGCAACAGGGCCUGAAAGUGAAAGUGUUAAGUGGGUUAAUGAGUUAUUUUUUUGGCUGUAUUCUGACUUAGUGAUAGUGAAUGAGUUAUUAAGUGUUUGGAUUCAAUCACUAAAUGACUUUACCAAGAAAUCGGUUGACGAGCAUGGCGUGGGUGCAGAGUUUGUCCGAGUGCUCGGCGAGACACAGACCCCUGUCCUGAGCAACGUGUUCUGCGAGUGUGCUCCAAAUGAUGAUGUGACGAUCACAUGCGACUGUGAAGCUACUCCGGCUCUUCAGCUGAAAGUGUUCCGACAGAAAGGGGAAAAGGUAGAGGUGUCGCACUACCGAGUGAAUGUUAACCGGUUCCGUGCUCGCCUCUCUAUCUUCUGUAUCACCGAGAAACUGCUGGCAGACGUCAAGUGCGAUGGCUGGCCUGAUAUCAAAGUAUCUCUGGCUCAAGUUGGUGCUAUCAAGAACAACAUGGAUGAGAGUCAGCUGCAAGAGGUGAUCACCGAGAUCGUCACAGUUGCCCUGCGGAACACAGAAGUACAUUUCAACCUCUCCCAGUAUCCGACUUGCCCACGGCUCAACCGAUAUGUUCCUCCUCCUUCCCACCUGUUGCCUGUACACUACGAUAGUCUGUUAAACUCAUCUCAUUCCAUGAGCAUCAACUCAAAGACUGCAGAUAAACGACUUCUUGUGAAAGUGGUCAAGGCUGUUGGACUAGGAUGUAAAAAAGGUGUCCAAGAGCCAUUUUGCAUUGUAGAGUUAGACGAACCUCCACAAAAGAACCAAACCUCACUCAAGAAAGACACUGACAGUCCAGUUUGGGAUGAACACUUCUUAUUUGACAUAAGUGGUCACACAAGCGAAAUACUGUUUGAAGUGUACGACCGCGCCCAAGGGGAGAACAAGUUCCUCGGUCUGGCGAUUGUGGGGGUAGAGGAACUGCUGAUCAACCCCUCCCAGCGGCAGACCAUCUCCCUCCAGUCUCGACCGUACCAGGAGGACACUGUCUCCGGGAUGCUCACUCUAGAGUUUCUUUUCAUUGAGGGUGCAGAUCUUCCUCAAAUGGGUGAUAAACCUUUCAAGCUGAAAGAAACUCUCAAAUCCGUCUCACCGUCAGGGAAAACUGUCACCACCACCAAAACUGUCUUCGCGAAGCCAGGACCAACCACAGAACACCUGACCAACGGUGGUGAUGGCGUGACUGACUCGGCCCUACGUGACCUGGAGCUGCGCAACAAGGGCCCACCCACCCAGACCAGCAAGAGCACGCUCAUCAUCCACAGUGUACAGCGGCAACCGCAGAAACAAUUGCUGAAGGACCAGACAGCACCGAACUAUGAACUCUUUAACCGAUAUUCUCGUAACGUUAGACAGCAAGGAAUGAGAGAGACUACAGGGCCAGGAGGUACUCAGGGACAGCAUGUCCACAUACUGCAACCCUCUGACAACCAAGCUGAAGCAGAAAGAGGUAGAAGUAGAAAAAAGAGAGACUUUUUUGGUACUAUAAAAAAAAGACUGAGUAGAUCGAAAAUGCGCUCAAAGUCCAUGGAUCCAGGAGAGUAUGAUGAGUCGUCCAAUUCGGACCCUUUAAAUCGUUCGAUUUCCGCAGACAGAGCCAGAGACCCCUCGGCACACUCAACAGGUUAUCUUUCAGUGCCGCCAAGAGAGGGCUCCACCAGGUCGUCUCUGAGCGAGGCGUCAGGCAUUAGCGGAGCGUCCAACCGGACGUACAUCAACGAGGCUUCCACAUUGGUGCUGGAGACUAUCGAAAACGGAAUUAAAAAGUAUUAUCUAGUUCCGCUGUCGAUUGCGCAGAAAAGUAAAUGGAAAAAGAAAGGAACCAAACUACACAUAUUCAACGAUCACACCUUUAUUGCCAAACACUUACCAGGGGGAACGCAGUGUCAGGUGUGCAGCAAGGUCCUACCCCGCCGCCUAGGAAAGCAAGGGUACGAGUGCCGCGACUGUCAGCUCAAGUGCCACAAGAUGUGCCACAUCCGCGCGGACAACACUUGCCCGAGCUCUAACAUCCAGAGUAUAGAACUGUCCCUUUUGCCUGUGCUGAGCGAAUAAAACCUUGGGUAAGCAAAAGAACUGUGUGCUAUUUGUAGUUUUCAGUCGUCCGUCACAGUCAUAUGUGCGGACGCAAGUAGUCCUUACUCAGUGCGCCGCCUAAUGCGGCAGACGCAACCUCAACGCUAGCAGCAGAGGCAUCACGCACAGCCGUAGGUAGUGUUCUGUGUUGCCAUUGUCACUGUUACCACAUCAGAACUCUGACCAUUCGAGCAGCAAAAGACACUUAGUGUUAAUGUUAUAUCAGAAUAGGCCAUAACCAGUUGUACAUCAUCGAUGAAUGCGAAAAUACCGAGUUUUACUUUAUUUUGUUCUAAUAACUGAAUUAUGUUUUUCGCAAGUACCAACAUAAGAUUUAAUUAGUAUAAGUUUGUACAUAUUCACAUAAAUAAUGCUUUAAAUUAGUUCUAAAUAUUACUUUAUGGAUUAUAUUUGAAAAUAUAAUUUUAAAAUCUCUUACGAUUAGAUAAGAGUUGUGUUAGAUUUUUAUUUAUCAUUUGUACACUAAUGAGUUGAAUUAAGUUUUAGUGAUGCAUUAAUUUUAUACAUAAGCAAAUUAUAGAUAUGUAUUAAAAUACAAGGUAAUCAAUUACUUUAAUAUUUGCAUGAGUGUUGUAUUGAAUAUCUCUUCUCACAUGGAAAGUGUUACGUCCAUUCUAGAAUUAUGUGUAAUUUUAAUCAAUCAAUGUAAAUAGACUAGGUAGUAUUUUUUAUUUUAAUUAAUUUUUUUAUAUUUUAUACUGUUUUGUUUUAGUUUGUUGUAGUCUAUUGCAGAUUUUUAUAUGGAUCAGUAAUGUUUGUUACCUCUUUUUAGUUAUAUUUAUUUGUAAAGUUUUUUCCACUUUGUGUAGUCAUUUUUAUGGUCUUCUGUCUAAUCUAGUGAAAUUAUAAAUCCGCACCGUAAGUGUCCGAACAUGAGUACAAGUGAUCAUCAAAUGUUAUGUUUAUUUACUAUAAGAUUCUUGAUGUAAAAGAAUGCAAUCACUGUUGUUGUGGAUAUUUCAGUUAUAUACUAAGUAGCCUAUCCUGCUCGGACGUCAGAGUUCUGAUGUUGUCCAACGAUGCUAAAAUGUAAUCAAAAGCGUGCUGCCAUAUUGAAAGUGAAUUUCCAGUCUUGAAAUGUUACCAUUUAUGUCUUGAGUACCUGAUAUAAUCAACGAGCUGGCUACUCUCAAAUCAAGGCAUCUCCCGGGUGUUAAAUAGUGAUAAGAUUUAUUUUGGAGUAUAAACAGUAAGGGAUAACUGAUUCACGUAUAAUAGUUGAAACAAUUACAAUACAUAAUUUUGUCCAUACAGUUCAGCAUUUCUAUUUACUGUAUAUUUAGGAAAAUUUUGUUUAUUGUAUUUGCAGAAAUACAAGAAGAUUUAUGAGUUUAGUGUGAUUUUUUAAAUAUAAACCAUUUGAAAUUAAAUUCAAUACAGUAACUGAUAUAAGAUUUACAAAACUGGGUUUUAAUGUUAGUCCGUUUUAACUAAUUUAAUUACAAUUCACCAAGGUUCACCUGCACACCUGCAAGCCACCUCUUGAAUUGUUAUUGUAUUAACAGGUCUGUCCUAUGAAAUAAUCCAAUAUGGCUGACAGCAGCAUUAUGUACAGUCCUGUUAUCUGCUCACAUGUAUCCGGACAGUCAACACAUGUAUACAAAUUACUGUAGUGAUUGUUGCCAAGUUUUUUUUAACGAUAAUUUAAGAUAGGUAACUUCUUAAAGACAGUUGUUAAAGUUAUGAGAGCUGUUCAUUGAAGGAUAACAUUAUCAAUUGAUUUGGUAUUGUGUUGAUUAUUUUUUUCUUUUUCUUAAUUUACCUACUCCCCCAACAUACAUUUUUUGUAUACCUCUCACUGUUUAUUAUUGGAUGUGACUGACGUUUAAGAUACAUGAUUGCUAGAUACACGGCUGCACCUUGUGUGAGAACUGCCAUUAUGGAUUACAGGACAGUAGUAUUAUACUGAAUUUCAUCAUUACAUACAUCAAAGGUGCAACACAGGUAUAAUAUGUGCUUAAUUUGAAUGUGUACGUAAUUAUAACAUUCAAGAAAAGUCAAUUUUGGCAUUUUCUGUUGUUGAAAUAUUUGCCUAGCUAUUCGAAAAGGUCAACUUCACCAGAUUUGGCCGAAGUGGAAAGCUUAGAAUCUGUGCAGAGGUGGAUCUUGUGCAUGGCAUAACUAACAUAUACGUUUUAUUUUACAAAUUAGAUUUUAAGCAGCCGUUUAAGAAUUAGAAUGUACUUUCGCCUUACAAAGCUAUUUUGCUCAAUAAACAGUGAUGUAAGCAGAUACAAAAUUUAUGGUAGGUAUUGCACUUUCGCUAUUGAUAUUUAGAGGAAUUAGAUAUAGAUCAAUAAAUCCCAGUUUUUCAUCGCUUUCCCAGUUAAAUCAGCCUUCCAUUACUGGAACUUCUUAAAUAAUUCUAUUAUGAGUAGUUUUGACUGCAUAUGCCAAGUACAAUCUAAUAAAUAAAGUACAUUUUCAGGCCUAACGUUUAGCAUUUUCUGAAUGAAAUUUAUUCGUACAUGCGCUGUUAUUUUGGUGUGAUAAUUUAAAGCAAGUAGAGAAUAUAUUUACAUUAUUUUUUACACCUUUAAAAACACUCCUUGAAAAAGCUUGAAAUAGUAACAAUAGAUUGAAAAUUUGUUGCUGGUGUUGUGAGAUUAAAGGCAUGGAGACUUACUUUGUUUUCAUUUAAUAUAUUUUUUACUCUUUACGAAGUAAUUGACUUUAUCAGUAUUUUAAAGCAUAUAUUCAAAGAAAAGUCUAGACUAAACAUUUUGAAAUAAUAUAUGUGAUUAGCAUUGUGCCUUGUUUUGUACAUAACGCUAGCAGACCUUGUCACCACUUCAAGGUUUAAUUCCUCAGCACAAGAGGCAACGUAUUUUGGUGUUGAACGUAAAUUCUCACUUCAUUAGAUUGUUUUUUCUUGCAAACUCUAUCGAAAAAAAUGCCUUAUUCCAAGUUAAUCAGUGUCCAUGAAAAAGUUGCGGCCGAAGCACUUUGUAGUCUUUUUACUUUACGUGUAAUUUUACUUAAAACUCUGUAAAUAAACUUAUAAUCUGUUGGAGUUUUGUUUCUCAUGUGAUCACUUUGAAUUUAAAUUUGUAGUUUCAUCAGAGACAAUGUAAUGAAGCAGUGGCUGUUCAUGUUUCAUUAAAGGCUUGUAUUUGAUGUUAGACUUUUAAUAUCAACAAAUGUAUUAAUGUAAUAAAUAGUUUUACUCGAUUUUCAGAUUCUGUCAAUUAAGUUGGGAGGAAGGGACUUUUGUUUGUUUAAACGUAAAAGUUGUAUCUAUGAGGGCCAUUCAAAUAUAAUCAGAAAUUUGGUUUCCGCUGGUGGCAUAUUGAUGGGCAUUGGAGAAGGGAUAGAAACAGUUCCAAAAUGUGAGCCAGAAAUUGUGAGCCAACCUUACCACACCACCGAUAGAAACAUAAAUUACUGAAUGUAUAUUUGAAUGAUUCUGAGUUACGUAAGUCUCAGUAGGCUAGAGCUAAUAUAGCUUUUAGUUCCUAUACAAGUACUUACGAGGCAGGGACCAUGGGCUUAGGCUUGGAUUUAUAUUGGUUUCACGUUUCUAGUCUUCUUGGUUCUAUCUUUAUAAAGUAAGUGAAAACCCAUGACACUCUUGUAUUAGUUUCAUUUUCGGUUGUGGUUUUUGUAUGCCUGGUCUAGUCUUAUUAACAAGUGAUUAUUUUGUGAAAUAUUGUUUGAACUCGUUCAGCACAAUGUAUUAAAGUUAUGUUUAAUUUUCAGUGUUUACUGAUUUAAUGGAAAGAAUUGUGUAGUUAAUUUGUACUGUAAUGUAAAACUUAAUUUUCAAUGUACUUAUGUUACGUAGAAUGAACGUAUCGCCUACGUACGUGUUAGGUUACGUAGGCCCAUGACGUAUGAAUUGAACAGUGAGAUUUUUUUAAGUGAAAUUUUUAAGUAGGAUGUUAAAGCGGUAGCUUUUUUAAUGUUAUUAUAUCACUAUCACUAGCUUUAUAUGAUUUUACUUACACAAAUUGUGUUGAGUUAUUUUUUAUAACACUUGUUAAUUUAUUCGGUUGAGGACUGUUUUACACAGUCCAGCUCUGCAUUACAUGUCAAUCUGUUAACCAUAGCUUUAUAUAGCAAUAGAGAAAUAAACCAAUUGGUUUUGUUGGGA